rnacentral:rRNA from 1 species
UACGGAGGGGACUAGCGUUGUUCGGAAUUACUGGGCGUAAAGCGCACGUAGGCGGCUUGUUUAGUCAGGGGUGAAAUCCCGAGGCUCAACCUCGGAACUGCCUUUGAUACUGGCAAUCUCGAGUCCGGAAGAGGUGAGUGGAAUUCCUAGUGUAGAGGUGAAAUUCGUAGAUAUUAGGAAGAACACCAGUGGCGAAGGCGGCUCACUGGUCCGGUACUGACGCUGAGACGCGAAAGCGUGGGGAGCGAACAGG